rnacentral:rRNA from 1 species
UUACUGGGCGUAAAGCGCGCGUAGGCGGUUUGUUAAGUUGGAUGUGAAAGCCCAGGGCUCAACCUUGGAACUGCAUCCAAAACUGGCAGGCUAGAGUAUUGUAGAGGGGUGUGGAAUUUCAGGUGUAGCGGUGAAAUGCGUAGAGAUCUGAAGGAACAUCAGUGGCGAAGGCGACACCCUGGACAAAUACUGACGCUGAGGUGCGAAAGCGUGGGGAGCAAACGGGAUUAGAUACCCCGGUAGUCCACGCCGUAAACGAUGUCUACUAGCCGUUGGAGAGCUUGUCUCUUUAGUGGCGCAGCUAACGCACUAAGUAGACCGCCUGGGGAGUACGGUCGCAAGAUUAAAACUCAAAUGAAUUGACGGGGGCCCGCACAAGCGGUGGAGCAUGUGGUUUAAUUCGACGCAACGCGAAGAACCUUACCUACUCUUGACAUCCAGAGAAUUCGCUAGAGAUAGCUUAGUGCCUUCGGGAACUCUGAGACAGGUGCUGCAUGGCUGUCGUCAGCUCGUGUUGUGAAAUGUUGGGUUAAGUCCCGUAACGAGCGCAACCCUUAUCCUUAUUUGCCAGCGGUUCGGCCGGGGACUAUAAGGAGACUGCCGGUGACAAACCGGAGGAAGGCGGGGACGACGUCAAGUCAUCAUGGCCCUUACGAGUAGGGCUACACACGUGCUACAAUGGUGCAUACAGACGGUUGCGAACCCGCGAGGGGGAGCCAAUCCGAGAAAGUGCAUCGUAGUCCGGAUCGGAGUCUGCAACUCGACUCCGUGAAGUCGGAAUCGCUAGUAAUCGUGAAUCAGAAUGUCACGGUGAAUACGUUCCCGGGCCUUGUACACACCGCCCGUCACACCAUGGGAGUUGGUUGCAAAAGAAGUGGGUAGACUAACCUUUGGAGGUCGCUCACCACUUUGUGAUCAAUGACUGGGGUGAAGUCGUA